rnacentral:rRNA from 1 species
UGGGGAAUUUUCCGCAAUGGGCGAAAGCCUGACGGAGCAAUGCCGCGUGGAGGUGGAAGGCCUACGGGUCGUCAACUUCUUUCUCGGAGAAGAAACAAUGACGGUAUCUGAGGAAUAAGCAUCGGCUAACUCUGUCCCAG